AUCCAGAUGACGAGUCCCAAAUAGGACGAAAUGCGCGUCAUGGAU
rnacentral:hammerhead_ribozyme from 1 species